CUUGGUCAUUUAGAGGAAGUAAAAGUCGUAACAAGGUCUCCGUAGGUGAACCUGCGGAGGGAUCAUUACACAAAUAUGAAGGCGGGCUGGAACCUCUCGGGGUUACAGCCUUGCUGAAUUAUUCACCCUUGUCUUUUGCGUACUUCUUGUUUCCUUGGUGGGUUCGCCCACCACUAGGACAACCAUAAACCUUUUGUAAUUGCAAUCAGCGUCAGUAACAAAUUAAUAAUUACAACUUUCAACAACGGAUCUCUUGGUUCUGGCAUCGAUGAAGAACGCAGCGAAAUGCGAUAAGUAGUGUGAAUUGCAGAAUUCAGUGAAUCAUCGAAUCUUUGAACGCACAUUGCGCCCUUUGGUAUUCCAAAGGGCAUGCCUGUUCGAGCGUCAUUUGUACCCUCAAGCUUUGCUUGGUGUUGGGCGUCUUGUCUCUAGCUUUGCUGGAGACUCGCCUUAAAGUAAUUGGCAGCCGGCCUACUGGUUUCGGAGCGCAGCACAAGUCGCACUCUCUAUCAGCAAAGGUCUAGCAUCCAUUAAGCCUUUUUUUCAACUUUUGACCUCGGAUCAGGUAGGGAUACCCGCUGAACUUAAGCAUAUCAAUAAGCGGAGGA
rnacentral:rRNA from 1 species